rnacentral:rRNA from 1 species
AUUGAACGCUGGCGGCAUGCUUUACACAUGCAAGUCGAACGGCAGCGCGGGGGCAACCCUGGCGGCGAGUGGCGAACGGGUGAGUAAUGCAUCGGAACGUAUCCUGUAAUGGGGGAUAACGUAGCGAAAGUUACGCUAAUACCGCAUACGCUCGAGAGAGGAAAGUGGGGGAUCGCAAGACCUCACGUUAUAGGAGCGGCCGAUGUCCGAUUAGCUAGUUGGUGGGGUAAAGGCCCUUACCCAAGGCGACGAUCGGUAGCUGGUCUGAGAGGAUGAUCAGCCACACUGGGACUGAGACACGGCCCAGACUCCUACGGAGGCAGCAGUGGGGAAUUUUGGACAAUGGGCGAAAGCCUGAUCCAGCCAUGCCGCGUGCGGGAAGAAGGCCUCCGGGUUGUAAACCGCUUUAGUCCGGAAAAGGGGUGCGAGGAUAAUACCCUCGUGCUUUGAUGGUACUGGAAG